rnacentral:rRNA from 1 species
CGGAAAGCCUGAUCCAGCAAUACCGCGUGUGUGAAGAAGGCCUGAGGGUUGUAAAGCACUUUCAAUUGGGAGGAAAACCUACCGGUCAAUACCCGGUAGCUUGACAUUACCUUUAGAAGAAGCACCGGCUAACUCCGUGCCAGCAGCCGCGGUAAUACGGAGGGUGCAAGCGUUAAUCGGAAUUACUGGGCGUAAAGCGUGCGUAGGCGGUUAUUUAAGUCAGAUGUGAAAGCCCCGGGCUUAACCUGGGAACUGCAUUUGAUACUGGGUAACUAGAGUUUAAUAGAGGAGAGUGGAAUUUCAGGUGUAGCGGUGAAAUGCGUAGAGAUCUGAAGGAACACCAGUGGCGAAGGCGACUCUCUGGAUUAAAACUGACGCUGAGGUACGAAAGCGUGGGUAGCAAACAGGAUUAGAUACCCUGGUAGUCCACGCCGUAAACGAUGUCAACUAGCCGUUGGGCCUUUAUACAGGCUUAGUGGCGCAGCUAACGCAUUAAGUUGACCGCCUGGGGAGUACGGCCGCAAGGUUA